UGAUGUCUUUCACAAUCUGGUACAGUAUGUCCAUUACAGUGUCAAAAAUAUGUGUCUCCUAGCUGCCCCCUGGUGGUCACGAGAGAGAGUUAGUUACAGCUGUUGCUAUGAGGUCCCCAGCAUCCAUACUGGCUCUAUUUUAACUCGCCAAGUAGCUGGAACAGCAAGGCCAACGGUCUGUAGCUUUUAGAAACAAUUAAAUGUGUCCUGUGUGUGUUUUAAGAGGAGCCCACAUAUGAAAUAAAAUGUGUCCUGUGUGUGUUUUAAGAGGAGCCCAUAUAUGAAAUAUGUAUAAAGUGAUUUAAACAUUUAGCCUUUGAUUCUGGGCAGUAGCGCACUAGCUACUACUGCCAUGCCAGAGUUGCUUUUAAGGGUCCCGUCAAACGUGCACCUCCUCUCGGAGAUGUGGACGUGCAAACGAAGCUUCGGACGUCACCAGUGACGUGAUUUCGCAAAAACAAUACAAGCCUCGAUAUGGAGCUCCGCCUGGAAGAGCUUCCCGUUCUUGACACAAGCUUCGAAGGCUCCGUGUUAAGGGUAACAUGACUAGAAGCAAGCUGGACGCUCAAGCUAUAACGAAUCGUUGGAAUCUAGAGGCAAAUUGUCGACAUGGCAACAUCUUCAAAGUCACAGAAGGCGAUGGCAGACUCAGAGUGGACGGCCAUUGACAGGAAGGUGGUGGUAUCCACUAACAUAGCUGAGACAUCCCUGACCAUUGAUGGUGUGGAGUUUGUUAUUGACCCCAGAUUUGCCAAGCAAAAGGGUGGAGUCGUUGCUGGUGACGGUCAUAGGUAAAGCAUCAGCCCAGCAGAGGACAGGGAGAGCCGGAAGCACACGGCCAGGGGCUUCAGACACAGAAAAGGCCUACAAGACAGAGAUGCAGUUGGAAAUCCCUUGUGGUGGGAGGAGCUGCGUGUCAUCGGAGUGCUACUGGGGAGCGUUCCUUGUGGACGGGCCUGGGCAGAACCGUCUCCACGCUUCAACGUGACAACGCAAGUGCCUGCCACACGGAAGCGACACCUUGCGUACGUGUUUGAGUUCGGUGUUUUAUUAUAACUGCCUCAGUCAUGGAUUUUAGUACUGGUCGGUGGGUCCGGUGUUGUGGACUCUUCUGUGGAGUCUAUCUGUGGGGCGGCGUUUUCGUAUUGCAUACUGAUAAUACCUUUUGGGGGAAGGUGUGUAUCUUGCUCUCAUGUUAGACAUGGUUCGCCAUUAGUGGGGUUUAUGCCUAUCGCCUAGUGGGGUUCUUUAUACAGUUGCUGUGUGCCUACAGUCCUGUCUCCUUGUGAUAAAUAAACAUUUGUAUAACCA